UAGUCAGCCAUUUUGACAUUUUGACCGCCAUUUUCAAAAGAAAGAAAGAUACAUCUUCCGGUGUUCCACUUCCAGGCUCCUCCUGUCUUUGCACUCUGUACUUCCCCGCCUUCUUUUGGGCGGGUUCUUUCUUCUGCAGGAGUCCUCUUUCCAGCUGGAGGCGGGGCUACAGAGCGCACCUGCACCUGAUGAGCACCUAACCCAUUUAAGCAGAUGGACAACACCUGGGAGAUGUUUGGUUGUUCCUCUUGGUUUGCACCAUUCAUACUUCACAGGAAAGAAGACUGCAUGAGAAGACUCUAACCUGCACACCGACCCCCUUCGUCGGCAUCCAUGGUCCAGUCCUAGUCCACAUACGGUGCAAAACCGGGCAGCAAUGAGAAGUGCAACAUCACACCGUUUCAGGUCGGCCUCGCUGCGUCGCCUCGUCUCCACAGGCUUUCAACACUAUCAGUUUGGCCAGCCUGACUAUUGAGCUCCAUUUUCAGCAGCUUCUUCUCCGCUCACUCGUGAGCGUCAGUAGCGGUUUAAAUGAGCUGAGGGGCGGCGACGGUGUCUCCUGUUUGUCUGAUCUGGACCAGAGCCACUCAUCCAUCUGGAACGGGAUGUCUGUACUCCAGCACCGUGCUUGGGAUUACCGAGUCCAUGGCAGUCCCAUUCCGUCCAAAACAGUUUGUAAAUGGACAGAAGUGGUAACAGGGACAAAGCAGCCAAACAGACGCUCGGUGGCAGACUGGAGUCUUUUUGAUCAGUGUUAGUUCUUAUUUUGGACUGGUUUGGAGGUCCUGCCUCGGGUUUUCAGGGCAUUUUUCAAAGUAAUAGCACCUGAGUUAAAUGACCUUUUGCAAUGUGAAUGAACCACGAGUUGUCCAGACGUGCUUGUGCUUUUUUUUUUUUUUUGGACACCCUCCAGGAGGUUUGUUAACAUUUCUUUUCCUUAAACAUCUCGCAGCAGGGGUUGAGGAGCAGACAGGCGACGGAGGCGGUGAGAAAAUAUCAUCUAUAUACUGCAAGAAAUCAUUGAUCUGUGCCCGGCGUCUAAAAUAUGUAUUUGCAUUUCCUGUGAUACCCUUGAUAUUGUUCCGGCAAAAGCAAAGGAAGGACGAUGAAUAACAACUAAAGUUAGACAAUUUAUGAUCAAAUUUUCUGAUAAAAUUACUUAUAAAAUGAAAGAUUCUGUGACAGUGUUAAAGUGAACAGAACAUGAUCGUUUUUGAGGCUGAAAGAAGUUAUGGACGGCUUAAAACACUGUUUCAGGAGGUGUGGUAAAACUGCCCUUUUUGUGAUGUCACAGAGGAGCAGACUUCUUUAUAUGGGCAUGGCUGUCAGCCAGAUAAGCCCUCCCCCAAGUGCUGCUACUA